rnacentral:rRNA from 1 species
AGUUGACGACGUGUGUUCAGUGAAAUCGAGUAGGGCGGGACACGUGAUAUCCUGUCUGAAUAUGGGGGGACCAUCCUCCAAGGCUAAAUACUACUGACUGACCGAUAGUGAACCAGUACCGUGAGGGAAAGGCGAAAAGAACCCCUGUGAGGGGAGUGAAAUAGAACCUGAAACCGUGUACGUACAAGCAGUAGGAGCACCUUCGUGGUGUGACUGCGUACCUUUUGUAUAAUGGGUCAGCGACUUAUAUUCAGUGGCAAGGUUAACCAUCUAGGGGAGCCGUAGGGAAACCGAGUCUUAACUGGGCGUUCAGUCUCUGGAUAUAGACCCGAAACCAGGUGAUCUAGCCAUGGGCAGGUUGAAGGUUGAGUAACAUCAACUGGAGGACCGAACCGACUAAUGUUGAAAAAUUAGCGGAUGACUUGUGGCUAGGGGUGAAAGGCCAAUCAAACCUGGAGAUAGCUGGUUCUCCCCGAAAGCUAUUUAGGUAGCGCCUCGGACGAAUACUACUGGGGGUAGAGCACUGUUAAGGCUAGGGGGUCAUCCCGACUUACCAACCCUUUGCAAACUCCGAAUACCAGUAAGUACUAUCCGGGAGACACACGGCGGGUGCUAACGUCCGUCGUGGAGAGGGAAACAACCCAGACCGCCAGCUAAGGUCCCAAAUUACUACUAAGUGGGAAACGAUGUGGGAAGGCUCAGACAGCCAGGAUGUUGGCUUAGAAGCAGCCAUCAUUUAAAGAAAGCGUAAUAGCUCACUGGUCGAGUCGGCCUGCGCGGAAGAUGUAACGGGGCUAAGUAGUAAACCGAAGCUGCGGCAAUAUACUUUUGUAUAUUGGGUAGGGGAGCGUUCUGUAAGCGGUUGAAGGUGUGUGGUAACGCAUGCUGGACGUAUCAGAAGUGCGAAUGCUGACAUGAGUAACGAUAAAGGGGGUGAAAAACCUCCUCGCCGGAAGACCAAGGGUUCCUGUCCAACGUUAAUCGGGGCAGGGUAAGUCGACCCCUAAGGCGAGGCCGAAAGGCGUAGUCGAUGGGAAACGGGUUAAUAUUCCCGUACUUCUUACAAUUGCGAUGGGGGGACGGAGAAGGCUAGGUGGGCCUGGCGACGGUUGUCCAGGUUCAAGUGCGUAGGCUUAAGAGUUAGGUAAAUCCGGCUCUUUUUAAGGCUGAGACACGACGUCGAGCCACUACGGUGGUGAAGUCAUUGAUGCCAUGCUUCCAGGAAAAGCCUCUAAGCUUCAGAUUGUAAGGAAUCGUACCCCAAACCGACACAGGUGGUCGGGUAGAGAAUACCAAGGCGCUUGAGAGAACUCGGGUGAAGGAACUAGGCAAAAUGGUACCGUAACUUCGGGAGAAGGUACGCUCUCGACGGUGAAGUCCCUCGCGGAUGGAGCUAUUGAGAGUCGCAGAUACCAGGUGGCUGCAACUGUUUAUUAAAAACACAGCACUGUGCAAAAUCGUAAGAUGACGUAUACGGUGUGACGCCUGCCCGGUGCCGGAAGGUUAAUUGAUGGGGUUAGACUUCGGUCGAAGCUCUUGAUCGAAGCCCCGGUAAACGGCGGCCGUAACUAUAACGGUCCUAAGGUAGCGAAAUUCCUUGUCGGGUAAGUUCCGACCUGCACGAAUGGCGUAAUGAUGGCCACGCUGUCUCCACCCGAGACUCAGUGAAAUUGAAAUCGCUGUGAAGAUGCAGUGUACCCGCGGCUAGACGGAAAGACCCCGUGAACCUUUACUACAGCUUGGCACUGAACAUUGACCCUACAUGUGUAGGA